rnacentral:rRNA from 1 species
AGUUCGGAUCGCAGGCUGCAACCCGCCUGCGUGAAGUUGGAAUCGCUAGUAAUCGCGGAUCAGCAUGCCGCGGUGAAUACGUUCCCGGGCCUUGUACACACCGCCCGUCACACCAUGAGAGUCGGGAACACCCGAAGUCCGUAGCCUAACCGCAAGGGGGGGCGCGGCCGAAGGUGGGUUCGAUAAUUGGGGUGAAGUCGUAACAAGGUAGC